CCUGGCACGAUAUCAUGCCACGUCGCAAGCUUCCUAGAAACCGUUGGAUCGUAGCUCGGUGUAUCCUACGGCUAGAUCCUGAUCCAGGUUUACUAAGGCUUCGGAACUCUUCCAGACUAAUCCAGCAUUCGCUCAAACAGCCAAACAUCCGAGAUCCAAAUAUCACUAUCCAUUUCCACAUGAAUGCACCGGCGGCAACGAAGAAGAACAUCAAUCGAUCCAGUGAAGCAGCACACCAACGAAGAGGAAGAAGAGAAAUGAAAUCAACAGGUGAGAGUAUUAGGCAAAAAUAAUAAUUAUUACUACCUACUACAUACAAUAAUACAUAUACAUAUAUACGUGCAAAUAUAUACAUAUAUAUACGUCAAUACGUGUAGAACAUACACAGAAUUGUAGCGCAUUCACUUAUCGCAUCAACGUUGGAGCAAAGAUUCCUUGCAAAUUCCAUAUCAACAAUAGCAAUCCUUCUGAGUGAUGA